rnacentral:rRNA from 1 species
CUGUAUUGAUAAAACGGUUAAACACCCCCAACCGAAACCCCGAGAUCUCUAGAUAUGUAGUUUGGCACCUGAAACGGGUAGUUAUUUAAACAUGUUUGGUGAGGUGAUAAAUUAGUCGUUUGGGGUUAUAUCUGUUUUACGGGUUGCGUUAUUAUUGUAACACCAAGGUAAAGAGAUUUUGGUGUUUUCUAUAUCCUCCUUACGUUAAAUAUUGAUUUGGGUUAAGAUUACCCCCACGUUGUAGAUUAUGUUACUAUUCUAAUCUUUUGUGAUGGGUGAUUAGUUUUGUCCCCGUAUAGUUUAAUAAAAUAAACUCCCCCUAUGGUAUAAUAAGUAAUUAUAUUAUCAGCAAUCUAUCUCAUGAGCAGCCCAACUGUUUAUUAAAAACAUUUCUGCCUAACAAUUUGGGCUGUAAGACCUGCCCGGUGUUUAUAUUAACGGCCGCAGUAUUAUGACUGUGCGAAGGUAGCAUAAUUAAUUGCCCCACAAUUGGGGGCUUGUUUGAAUGGUUUAAUGUGGUUGUUUUUAAGAUUGCGGUUUUAUUUGAAAUUAAUAUCGCGUUACAGAAUAUGCGGUUUUUAGUUAGACGGAAAGACCCCGGGAUCUUUUGUUUUGUCUGGGGCAGAUUAUGUUAUUUUAAUAUAUUUUAGACCCGUUGAUUAAAGGUUUAAGAUACCCCGGGGAUAACAGGGUAAUAACUCACUAGAGGCCCUAUCGAAUGAGUUGGUUGCUACCUCGAUGUUGACUUGGGUCCCCACCAACGGCGCAGUAGUUGUUGGUGUUGGUCUGUUCGACCAGAAUAACCCUCAUGAGUUGAGUUAA